rnacentral:rRNA from 1 species
UACGUAGGUGACUAGCGUUGUCCGGAUUUACUGGGCGUAAAGAGCGCGCAGGCGGUCGUUCAAGUCGAGUGUGAAAGCCCCCGGCUCAACUGGGGAGGGUCAUUCGAUACUGAUCGACUCGAAGGCAGGAGAGGGAAGCGGAAUUCCCGGUGUAGUGGUGAAAUGCGUAGAUAUCGGAGGAACACCAGUGGCGAAGGCGGCUUCUCG